GAUGAAGAACGUAGCGAAAUGCGAUAAGUAGUGUGAAUUGCAGAAUUCAGUGAAUCAUCGAAUCUUUGAACGCACAUUUCGCCCCUUGGUAUUCCAUGGGGCAUGCCUGUUCGAGCGUCAUUUGUACCUUCAAGCUUUGCUUGGUGUUGGGUGUUUGUCUCGCCUCCGCGUGUAGACUCGCCUCAAAACAAUUGGCAGCCGGCGUAUUGAUUUCGGAGCGCAGUACAUCUCGCGCUUUGCACUCACAACGACGACGUCCAAAAGUACAUUUUUACACUCUUGACCUCGGAUCAGGUAGGGAUACCCGCUGAACUUAAGCAUAUCAAUAAGCGGAGGA
rnacentral:misc_RNA from 1 species